GGCUACACACGUGCUACAAUGGGUAGUACAGAGAGUCGCAAAGCCGCGAGGUGGAGCUAAUCUCAGAAAACUAUUCUUAGUUCGGAUUGUACUCUGCAACUCGAGUACAUGAAGUUGGAAUCGCUAGUAAUCGUGAAUCAGCAAUGUCGCGGUGAAUACGUUCUCGGGUCUUGUACACACCGCCCGUCACACCACGAGAGUUGGUUGCACCUGAAGUAGCAGGCCUAACCGUAAGGAGGGAUGCUCCGAGGGUGUGAUUAGCGAUUGGGGUGAAGUCGUAACAAGGUAUCCGUACGGGAACGU
rnacentral:rRNA from 1 species